rnacentral:misc_RNA from 1 species
CCGGGCGUUAGAUGUUGUUGAUCACAUGCAGUAUUAUAAAGGGGUCUGUAAGGUUACACCUGAUUUGUACCUGUUUGUCAUCGAUUUAUUGACGCUUCUCUGAUGGUAGCAAACGCAGGGCGCCUAGACACUCUCCUCCAGACCACCACACAUGAUGUGAAGUUCUACGUGGUUCUUGUUUUACUUAUAAUGUGUGUGGUACUACAGCUGAUUUUGGCCUGGAUGCUUUGGUUCAAUUCGAUGUACGGUAAGAUUGAGCCCGGUCCGGUUCCUACACUGGAAGACUGUCUCAGUGAUGCUGAACUGUUCGAACAAGCACAAAAAAGACGCGCAAAGAGAAUUAACAACAGAGAUAUCGCCAAAAAACUCGAUGACGGUGCGGACCUCGCUCUACUUUUUAUACUUAUUCUCAAUAUUUUCAUCACAGCAUUUGGAGCCAAAGGGUCUUGAACAUCAUUAUGUACGCUGACGUUACGGUACGUACGGCUAAUUGACUGGAUGUUCAUUCCAAUUUACAGUAAACCUUCCAUUUUUGAAUAGGAGACAAUCUUGCCAGCUGGUUGCAUCUGGGCCGCUAACGCGACACUCAGCGUUUUAAGCUAUGUAACAUUGUCAAAUUUGAACUAUUGUGUGAUUUUAUUUCAUUUACAUUUUUGUUUUAUUUCUCAUUGUGAUUUGUACUUUGCCAAACAACUUCACAUAGAAGUCCAAAAUGAAACUGAAUUUUUAAGCGUGCAUCAGAAGCUUUAAAUAUUGCAUAAGGCCUCGUGGAAUGUCAUAUACUUGUAGGUCUAAUAUUAAUUGCCAAUGCAAAAUCUCUAUUUUUCCUAAAAAUCAAUUGUAUUCAUUAUUUUGUUGUUUUUUUUUUGGCGAAACCUUCACGAGUUAACAGUUUGACAUCUACCAAAGGAGGUCACUACUUGGGGGUGUAUCGCACAGCACAUAACUAGUUCAGAUUUGAUGCAAACGAUUCUACAUAUAGAUUUGACUGUUGUGUGUUUUCUGUUUUUUUUUCGUUUUGCAAAAAAAUAAAAUAAAUAAAUAAAUAAAAAAAUAACACUUCAUGUGAUCAAAACCAGUCUUAUUCAGGCAAUCUUUAGAUGCCAUGUUUCUGUUGUGCAAAUAAAAUGAGAUUUCGUUUUGAAGAA